UUUGUCUAUAGAUGGCUCCAGCAGUAAGUGCUGGUCGAUUUUGACAUAUCCAAAACGUCACGAGCCAAGCUUAGACAUAUGAAAACGGCGGCUGAAGCGCAUCGAGAGCUCCAAAAAGUUUACGGAGAUGCUGCUCUAAGUGAAACAACGUGCCGUGAUUGGUUCCGUCGCUUCAAAGACGGUGAUUUCGAUGUUGACGACCGUCCGCGUGAAAGAAGGCCAAAACCUUCGAAGACGCUGAAUUGGAGGCAUUGCUCGAUGAGGAUCCAUGCCAAACGCAAGAACAGCUUGCUUCAGCAUUAGGAGUUACCCGCCAAGCCAUUUCCAAGCGAGCAAUACGAGCAGAGGCACGAAAAAGUGAUUCUACUGCAUGACAACGCUCGGCCUCAUGUUGCCAAACCCGUUAAAACUUACGUGGAAACGCUCAAAUGGGAAGUCCUACCCCACCCGCCAUAUUCCCCAGAUAUUGCGCCGUCCGAUUAUUACUUGUUCCGUUCGAUGGCACAUGGUCUGGCUGAU